UUACGGUCAAAUCACGCUGAAAACACCGGUUCUCGUUCGAUCACCGAAGUUAAGCAUCGUAGAGCCAGGUCAGUACUUUUAGAUGGGGGACCGCUUGGGAACACCUGGUACUGUAAG